CGGUGUAGCACAAUGGAAUCUGGUGGCUUAAACCUAGCUGUCCACAUUUCACUAUCUGAAGAGCAGAAAAUGUGUUAAUAGGAGCCUGGUGAGUGGAGGAGACUGAAGAUGGAGAGAGAGCCUGGACCUCAACAUGAGCAUUUGGAGCCAUUUGGCAGCAUUAGGCUGUGACCGCUUAGAGAAACAAAAGGUGCAGAGCUUUAAAGGAUUAUGGCGUCUGAAGACCAAAUGGGAUGAUGGAGAACAGCUAUCCAGUGAUACAAAUGUAAAUGCUCCCAGGCCAGGGCAGAAAAGAGAAAACAUUUCCAUGGAAGAGGAAACAGGAAAUUCCAAUAGAUCAGCAACAGUUGGAGUGCUAACCUGUCACUGGAAUGGAAAAAAAAAAUGCUGUUGUUGACACAUCUUUUCCUUGUUUUUGACACAAAUUAGAAACACCACCUGGAACACAGCUGUGACUUGAUGAACAAGUGAAAUAUUCUUUGGUGUGGUGAGGGGAAAACAAAUUUCUCAAAGGACACGCACCAUGGUGUAUGAGAGGACACUGGAGCCCAGCCAGCAUCUGACAUGCUGAAUUCAAAGUGCAGGUGAAAGUAGGACAACUGAUUCACAAGCU
rnacentral:lncRNA from 1 species